rnacentral:lncRNA from 1 species
AGACGAAACGGCGGCGUUGGAGGUGGUUAAUGGAAGAGACAUUAUUUUUAUUAGAAGAAAAGUAAUAGAAGACGACAAAUUGGGAUUCUGCUGGGUUAUGGGGAAAAGAAAUCAAUGAGAAUAAAUCCACAUCUUUUUCUUCUUAAAGGUCUUGAAUUCCUGCAUCUCGAUGAGCUUUUUGGGUUGAAUCUUUGACAAUUUGAUGCGAGAACCAAAAAGGAAAACCCAGAAAAAUUGUAUCUUUUGUGGUUGUGAACAGAAAAUUACAAAAGAAAAGUAAUAGAAGACGACAAAUUGGGAUUCUGCUGGGUUAUGGGGAAAAGAAAUCAAUGAGAAUAAAUCCACAUCUUUUUCUUCUUAAAGGUCUUGAAUUCCUGCAUCUCGAUGAGCUUUUUGGGUUGAAUCUUUGACAAUUUGAUGCGAGAACCAAAAAGGAAAACCCAGAAAAAUUGUAUCUUUUGUGGUUGUGAACAGAAAAUUACAAUAGCCUACUCCACGAAGUUAAUUUAUAAGGCAGACAAUAAUCUAAUCUGCCAUGGGAAGUAACGAAAUAAGCUUAAAAAAUUAGUGCAAUACAAAACACAGAGAGAGAGAGGAAAAAAAACUAAAAAAGAGAGGAACAUGUCAGAUCUUGACUUGCCUGUUCCUCAAUAAUACCAGGUUUGUUUGAUUGUGAGGAUAAAAUUUGGAGAAAAAGAAAACGAAUUUUAGAGAAUUGAAUUGAUGUUU